CACGUAGGGGGCAAGCGUUGUCCGGAUUUAUUGGGCGUAAAGAGCGUGUAGGCGGCCAGGUAGGUCAGCUGUGAAAACUCGAGGCUCAACCUCGAGACGCCGGUUGAAACCAUCUGGCUAGAGUCCGGAAGAGGAGAGUGGAAUUCCUGGUGUAGCGGUGAAAUGCGCAGAUAUCAGGAAGAACACCCGUGGCUAAGGCGGCUCUCUAGUACGGUACUGACGCUGAGACGCGAAAGCGUGGGGAGCGAACAGG
rnacentral:rRNA from 1 species